GUUAUCGGUCAAUUUUUUUUGGCCGUCCCAUUGGUAUAAAAAGCUGCACUUUCUUUUCGGUCCGACAGAAAUCAAGUUAAAUUGUAAUGGAUCUGCGUAUAUUCACACUUCUCUUUGCUUUAUGCGGUUGGCUGCACAUUCCAGAAGCAAAUGCUGAAGAGUGUUCUCUGCAUCAAGUAAUAAAGACGGGUGAAAAGUACGAUAUACGGACUCCCCUAUAUCCAGACUUCUACAGAACGCCACCUAUUUGCAGGUGGCAUGCACAUGCACAGGGGUCAGAUAACGUAAUUGACCUCCAAUGCUCAAUUGAUAUUCCAUUCGGGGGACCCAAUUGCAGGUACAGUUACCUUAUGGUGUUCGACGACAAUUCUCCUGACUCUCCAAUGGUUUUCUGUGGAUUUUCUAAAUACCAUAGAAUUAGAAUGUCAUCGAGAUAUGCCCAUAUAAUAUUUUCCGGGUUCGGAAAAAUUUAUUGUGAAGUAACGGCUGUGCGAGCUUCGACUCCUUCCGAAGAGACCUAAAGUCUAAUACUUCCCUUCAAAAUACAAGAGCAUUAAAAACUAAAA